ACGUUGAAACACCAAUUCCUGUAUGAUCCCUGGUUAAGCAACAUCGAGUCUGGUCAGUACUCAGAUGGGUGACUACUUGGGAAUACUAGGUGCUGUAAG